UNGGAAUUACUGGGCGUAAAGCGGGCGCAGACGGUUACUUAANCAGGAUGUGAAAUCCCCGGGCUCAACCUGGGAACUGCGUUNUGAACUGGGUGACUAGAGUGUGUCAGAGGGAGGUAGAAUUCCACGUGUAACAGUGAAAUGCGUAGAGAUGUGGAGGAAUACCGAUGGCGAAGGCAGCCUCCUGGGAUAACACUGACGUUCAUGCCCGAAAGCGUGGGUAGCAAACAGGAUUAGAUACCCUGGUAGUCCACGCCCUAAACGAUGUCGAUUAGCUGUUGGGCAGCAUGACUGCUUAGUAGCGAAGCUAACGCGUGAAAUCGACCGCCUGGGGAGUACGGUCGCAAGAUUAAAACUCAAAGGAAUUGACGGGGACCCGCACAAGCGGUGGAUGAUGUGGAUUAAUUCGAUGCAACGCGAAGAACCUUACCUGGUCUUGACAUGUACGGAACCCUCCAGAGACGGAGGGGUGCCUUCGGGAGCCGUAACACAGGUGCUGCAUGGCUGUCGUCAGCUCGUGUCGUGAGAUGUUAGGUUAAGUCCCGCAACGAGCGCAACCCUUGUCAUUAGUUGCCAUCAUUAAGUUGGGCACUCUAAUGAGACUGCCGGUGACAAGCCGGAGGAAGGUGGGGAUGACGUCAAGUCCUCAUGGCCCUUAUGACCAGGGCUUCACACGUCAUACAAUGGUCGGUACAGAGGGUAGCCAAGCCGCGAGGUGGAGCCAAUCUCACAAAACCGAUCGUAGUCCGGAUUGCACUCUGCAACUCG
rnacentral:rRNA from 1 species